rnacentral:rRNA from 1 species
UGUGUAGGCGGCCCUGCAAGUCGGAUGUGAAAGCCCCGGGCUCAACCCGGGAAGUGCACCCGAUACUGCUGGGCUCGAGUACCGGAGAGGUUGGUGGAAUUCUCGGUGUAGAGGUGAAAUUCGUAGAUAUCGAGAGGAACACCGGUGGCGAAGGCGGCCAACUGGACGAGUACUGACGCUGAGACACGAAAGCGUGGGGAGCAAACAGGAUUAGAUACCCUGGUAGUCCACGCCGUAAACGAUGGGUGCUAGGUGUCACGGGCUUUGACUCCUGUGGUGCCGUAGCCAACGCAUUAAGCACCCCGCCUGGGAAGUACGGCCGCAAGGCUAAA